AGUUUCAUCCCAUUUUUGCACUUUUCUGGAUUGUGGGCAAUCGUAGUAGAAUGGCACCCUGUGGAAUAGACCCAUUAUCCUGAGGCAGCCGAAAG